rnacentral:pre_miRNA from 1 species
UGGACAGAUUAUUGUAUUCGACUGUAUUUUAAUGUAUUCACGGCGUGAAACAGGGGAUUACACUGUUUUUAAACGGAAAGUGAAUCAAUUAACAUAAUAGACUCCU